rnacentral:rRNA from 1 species
AGCAACGAUCGUCGACUCAGGGUAAGUCGGGACCUAAGCCGAGGCGGAAAGCGUAGGCGAUGGACAACAGGUUGAAAUUCCUGUACCGGAUCAAGUCGAUUGAGCGAAGGAGCGACGCAGGAGGGCACAUGAUCGCGCGGCUGGAAGAGCGCGUCCAAGUGCGUAUGUUGCAGCAGAGGAAAACCCCUGCAGCUAAAAGCAGAGACAUGAAGGGGAGUUAAAGGAAACUUUGACGAACUCAUGGAUCCCACACUGCCAAGAAAAACUUCUAGCGAGACAAGAUCCGCCCGUACCGUAAACCGACACAGGUAGGCGGGGAGAGAAUCCUAAGGUGCGCGGGAAAACCCUCGUUAAGGAACUCGGCAAAUUGCAUCCGUAACCUAGGGAGAAGGAUGGCCCCCGGUCAGUGAAGAGCAGAAACGCUCAGAGCUAAAAGGGGCGGCAGAAAAGAGGCCCAAGCAACUGUUUACCAAAAACACAGGUGCCUGCGAAAGCGAAAGCUGAAGUAUAGGUGCUGACGCCUGCCCGGUGCCGGAAGGUUAAGGAGAGAAGUUAGCGAAAGCGAAGCAUCGAACUGAAGCCCCGGUGAACGGCGGCCGUAACUAUAACGGUCCUAAGGUAGCGAAAUUCCUUGUCGGGUAAGUUCCGACCCGCAUGAAAGGCGUAAUGAUUUGGGCACUGUCUCAACGAGGGGCCCGGUGAAAUUGAAAUACCUGUGAAGAUGCAGGUUACCCGCGACUGGACAGAAAGACCCCAUGGAGCUUCACUGCAGCUUGAGAUUGAAUCCCGGUGACAGAUGCACAGGAUAGGUGGGAGGCGCCGAAGCAUUGCCCUAGGGCGGUGCGGAGCCGAUGUUGGGAUACCACCCUUCUGUUGCUGAGAUUCUAACGCGAGGAGUAACGACCCUGCGGACCCUCUCAGGCAGGCGGUUUGACUGGGGCGGUCGCCUCCGAAAGAGUAACGGAGGCGCCCAAAGGUUCCCUCAGGCCGGACAGAAACCGGCCGAAGAGUGCAAAGGCAGAAGGGAGCUUGACUGCGAGACCAACAAGUCGAGCAGAGACGAAAGUCGGGCUUAGUGAUCCGGUGGUACUGAGUGGAAAGGCCAUCGCUCAACGGAUAAAAGCUACCCUGGGGAUAACAGGCUA